rnacentral:rRNA from 1 species
UACGGAGGGGGCAAGCGUUAUUCGGAAUUAUUGGGCGUAAAGGGCGCGUAGGCGGCUAGAUGUGUCAAAGGUGAAAUCCCUCGGCUCAACUGAGGAACUGCCUUUGAAACUGUCUGGCUUGAGGCCGGGAGAGGGUAGCGGAAUUCCCAGUGUAGCGGUGAAAUGCGUAGAUAUUGGGAGGAACAUCAGUGGCGAAAGCGGCUUCCUGGACCAGUACCGACGUUCAGGCACGAAAGCGUGGGGAGCAAACAGG